UUGCUUUUUAUUCGUCUUAGAAAUUAUGCUCCGUCGUUAUACGUCCAAGACAAAGCACAUAAGAAAAAAUGUGAGCAGGUUCUCUGGCUUUAUGGUGAAGAUGAACAAAUAACUGAAGUUGGCACCAUGAAUAUAUUUCUUUUUAUUGAAAAUGAAAAUGGCGAUGUACCAUAACACCUAUUUAGAAGAUG